rnacentral:rRNA from 1 species
UAUAUCGGAACGUACCCAAGAGUGGGGGAUAACGUAGCGAAAGUUACGCUAAUACCGCAUACGAUCUAAGGAUGAAAGCAGGGGAUCUUCGGACCUUGUGCUCCUGGAGCGGCCGAUAUCUGAUUAGCUAGUUGGUGAGGUAAAGGCUCACCAAGGCCACGAUCAGUAGCUGGUCUGAGAGGACGACCAGCCACACUGGAACUGAGACACGGUCCAGACUCCUACGGGAGGCAGCAGUGGGGAAUUUUGGACAAUGGGCGAAAGCCUGAUCCAGCAAUGCCGCGUGAGUGAAGAAGGCCUUCGGGUUGUAAAGCUCUUUUGUCAGGGAAGAAACGGUCUGGGCUAAUACCCUGGGCUAAUGACGGUACCUGAAGAAUAAGCACCGGCUAACUACGUGCCAGCAGCCGCGGUAAUACGUAGGGUGCAAGCGUUAAUCGGAAUUACUGGGCGUAAAGCGUGCGCAGGCGGUUUUGUAAGUCUGACGUGAAAUCCCCGGGCUCAACCUGGGAAUUGCGUUGGAGACUGCAAGGCUAGAAUCUGGCAGAGGGGGGUAGAAUUCCACGUGUAGCAGUGAAAUGCGUAGAGAUGUGGAGGAACACCGAUGGCGAAGGCAGCCCCCUGGGUCAAGAUUGACGCUCAUGCACGAAAGCGUGGGGAGCAAACAGGAUUAGAUACCCUGGUAGUCCACGCCCUAAACGAUGUCUACUAGUUGUCGGGUUUUAAUUAACUUGGUAACGCAGCUAACGCGUGAAGUAGACCGCCU